rnacentral:rRNA from 2 species
CAAUAAGCGGAGGAAAAGAAACCAACUGGGAUUGCCUCAGUAACGGCGAGUGAAGCGGCAAAAGCUCAAAUUUGAAAUCUGGCCCCGUCAGGUGCCCGAGUUGUAAUUUGGAGAGGACACUUCGGGUGUGGCUGCGGUGUAAGUCCCUUGGAACAGGGCGUCAUAGAGGGUGAGAAUCCCGUCUUGCGCCGCCGGACCAUGCCCAUGCGAAGUUCCUUCGACGAGUCGAGUUGUUUGGGAAUGCAGCUCUAAGUGGGUGGUAAAUUUCAUCUAAAGCUAAAUAUUGGCCAGAGACCGAUAGCGAACAAGUAGAGUGAUCGAAAGGUUAAAAGCACCUUGAAAAGGGAGUUAAAUAGCACGUGAAAUUGUUGAAAGGGAAGCGCUUGCAACCAGACUCGGUCGCGGGGGCUCAGCGGGCAUGCUUGCCCGUGUACUCCCCCGCGUUCGGGCCAGCAUCGGUUCCGGCGGUUGGUCAAAGACCUCUGGAAUGUGUCGUCCUCCGGGACGUCUUAUAGCCAGGGGUGCAAUGCUGCCAGCCGGGACCGAGGAACGCGCUUCGGCACGGAUGCUGGCAUAAUGGUUGUAAGCGGCCCGUCUUGAAACACGGACCCA